GUACUGCUGAACAGUCCCAGACUAGGACGAAACAGCUGUCCAGUAA
rnacentral:hammerhead_ribozyme from 1 species